GUUAGGAAUAUUGGACAAUGGGCGAAAGCCUGAUCCAGCCAUGCCGCGUGAACGAUGAAGGCCUUCGGGUUGUAAAGUUCUUUAGCCGAUGAUUAUAAUGACUGUAGUCGGAAAAUAAGCCCCGGCUAACUUCGUGCCAGCAGCCGCGGUAAUACGAAGGGGGCGAGCGUUAUUCGGAAUCACUGGGCGUAAAGCGUGCGUAGGCGGUUUUGUAAGUUAGGAGUGAAAGCCCAGGGCUCAACCUUGGAAUUGCUCUUAAAACGGCAAGGCUCGAAUCUCGGAGAGGAUAGCGGAAUUUCCAGUGUAGCAGUGAAAUGCGUAGAUAUUGGAAGGAACACCAGUGGCGUAAGCGGCUAUCUGGACGAGUAUUGACGCUGAGGCACGAAAGCGUGGGGAUCAAACAGGAUUAGAUACCCCAGUAGUCC
rnacentral:rRNA from 1 species